GGUGACAUUUGCAGUUGUUGCAAUUUUGAGAUGACAAGAUCAUAAGUAAGAUCUUAUUGUCAUGCAUAGAUGCUGAAGUUUUGGAUACUUUUGGGUUCAUAGAAAUGUUAUCCAACAUAAAGGAAAGUGCCACUCUUCCUCUCCAUUGAAAUGGUGUUCACCAUGGAAGGAAAGCUCCUCUCAUCAAUUAGUUUUUGGUUUGCCAAUGCCAUAACAAGUUAAGCGCUUGAGAAGUAGUUCGGGUACGCAUCCUAACUCUCAUUUACUGUGAUUUGGGGGCAAGAAAAAAACGAUCGGGAAAACCAAAGAGAAGAGAAAAGAG